rnacentral:tRNA from 1 species
GUGGGCAUAGCUCAGUGAUAGAGUGCGUGCUUAGCAUGCAUGCAGUCCUGGGUUGAAUCUCCAGUACCGCCA